UACGUAGGGACCAAGCGUUGUCCGGAUUUAUUGGGCGUAAAGAGCGUGUAGGCGGCCAUACAGGUCCGUUGUGAAAACUCGAGGCUCAACCUCGAGACGUCGAUGGAAACCGUAUGGCUAGAGUCCGGAAGAGGAGAGUGGAAUUCCUGGUGUAGCGGUGAAAUGCGCAGAUAUCAGGAAGAACACCCGUGGCGAAGGCGGCUCUCUGGGACGGUACUGACGCUGAGACGCGAAAGCGUGGGGAGCGAACAGG
rnacentral:rRNA from 1 species